AGGCGGUACGAACACACGAUGGGAAAUCGUAUGUUAUUUGGAAUAAAGGGCAUUAGGACGAGGGGAAAUGAUUUAUAUGGCAAGAGAAUAAGAAAAAUGAUGAUGCGCGGCACCUAGGGAAAAGAUGAAGAGAAACCGAAGGGGACAUGACAGCUUUGGAAGUGGAAGAGGAAACGUUGAAACGCCCCUCUCUGGCUACUGCGUAAUUGCUCUUAUUCUUAAUUAACUACUGGGGACCAGUAUGGUCGCCUAUGUUGAACAUGCCGAUAUAUGGGCCCUUUUUCCUCCGGAUACAACCCUUAUAUGCUGGACCUUUCUAGCUAUCUCAAUCUACUACCUCCAUCAUGAAAUAAAAGGUAUUCUAG
rnacentral:lncRNA from 1 species